rnacentral:tRNA from 1 species
AGGGUUGUAGUUAAUUAUAACAUUUGGGUUGCAUUCAAAAAAUAUUGAUUAUAAUCAAUCAACCUUA